UACAUAAAUAAAAGGCCGAAAAAGAAAGGGUGCAGUUUUAACUCGAAAGCUAGACAGGUCUUUUGUCAAAUUUUCCCUACUCUCUUCACACGUCUCUCAUACCUCUGAGGAUAACAUUUAUAAAAUCUUUAACUAGCAGCUUUGGUAUUACUUGGUCCUGGUUAAGAGAGUUGUUCCUAUCCACAACUUGUGUUUAAUUCCAAGAGAAAAUCUUCAAAUGAAGUCCACAUGCAGUGUUCUAUUGGACUUGGAGGCAGAAAGAAAAAACUCUUCCUCUUCCUUGGAAUCAAAACUUUUGUUCUGCAACGGAGGGAGUACUGAUCUCGGGUCACAAAUUUCCAAACUUAAUCCAAUUGUCAAGAAGCCUGAUAUCUCUUCAACUUCCCAGAGCCAAGUUCUAGACAAGGUCAAGAAUUUCCUGGGAGAGCUAUCAGAAGCGAAUAAAAAGCUAGAGGUUGAUGCAAAGGAAAAUCCUAAAUGAUAUAGAAGAACUCAGUGGGGAGGAUUCAGAAUACAUAGAAAAUUUAAUCUUGGGUGUUGCAGAGCUUUAUUCCUCUGAGGCUGUUGCUGCUGCUGAGUCUGCAAUAGCUCGUCAGCAAUCAGUUAUUCCAUUAGCUUCAAGUAGUAGCGCGACUUCUGAAGAUAGCCAUGAUGUUGAUGACAGUAGCGAUGAAGAUGAUUGUUGAGCUUUCAUUGGACUAUUGGUCCUUGGAGAAUUAGAUGUCUACUGUUUAGUUUCAAGAAAUUAUUUGUGGCAUGUUGUUACUGUUUUGAUCGUGCUCAAAUGUGAUGCAAACCUUAGAAUU